AGGGAAUCUUCCGCAAUGGGCGAAAGUCUGACGGAGCAACGCCGCGUGAGUGAUGAAGGUUUUCGGAUCGUAAAACUCUGUUGUUAGGGAAGGACAAGUACCGUUCGAAUAGGGCGGCACCUUGACGGUACCUAACCAGAAAGCCACGGCUAACUACGUGCCAGCAGCCGCGGUAAUACGUAGGUGGCAAGCGUUGUCCGGAAUUAUUGGGCGUAAAGCGCGCGCAGGCGGUCCUUUAAGUCUGAUGUGAAAGCCCACGGCUCAACCGUGGAGGGUCAUUGGAAACUGGAGGACUUGAGUGCAGAAGAGGAAAGUGGAAUUCCAAGUGUAGCGGUGAAAUGCGUAGAGAUUUGGAGGAACACCAGUGGCGAAGGCGGCUGUCUGGUCUGUAACUGACGCUGAGGCUCGAAAGCAUGGGUAGCGAAC
rnacentral:rRNA from 1 species